AAGAUGUUAGUAAAAACAUUACCCUGCCUUGUCAAGGCAAAAUUGUAGGUUAAACUCCUGCACAUCUUA
rnacentral:tRNA from 1 species